AGCAACGGAUCUCUUGGCUCUCGCAUCGAUGAAGAACGCAGCGAAAUGCGAUAAGUAAUGUGAAUUGCAGAAUUCAGUGAAUCAUCGAAUCUUUGAACGCACCUUGCACUCCUUGGUAUUCCGAGGAGCAUGCCUGUUUGAGUGU
rnacentral:rRNA from 1 species